rfam:Bacillus sp. FJAT-21945 super3, whole genome shotgun sequence.
CGGGCAGUAUCCUCUUGUUGAACUGCACCAAUUUGAUAUCAAAUAAAUUAAAGAUUUCUGCCUAGAUCCAUAAUGGACCGGGACAGAGGG